rnacentral:rRNA from 1 species
CAAACGACUCUCGGCAACGGAUAUCUCGGCUCACGCAUCGAUGAAUAACGUAGCAAAAUGCGAUACUUGGUGUGAAUUGCAGAAUCCCGUGAACCAUCGAGUUUUUGAACGCAAGUUGCGCCCGAAGCCUUUUGGCCGAGGGCACGUCUGCCUGGGCGUCACGC